ACACAUCAGUGAGAAUAAUCAGCAAAAAAGGCCCCAGUUUUCAAGAGAGCAUAAAGAAUAGAGUCCAGAUUGGCCCUGUUCCAGAGUAAUGGGCACAUCACGGUGAGAAGAGAGGAGGAUGAAGUCAUUACCCAUCAUGCCUAGUGCCUACAGCACAAGCCUGUGGGGGAAGCGUUAUGAUCUGGGGCUGUUUCAGCUGGUGAAAUGAGUUCAGGCUGAA